GAUGAAGAACGUAGCGAAAUGCGAUAAGUAAUGUGAAUUGCAGAAUUCAGUGAAUCAUCGAAUCUUUGAACGCACAUUGCGCCCGCUAGUAUUCUGGCGGGCAUGCCUGUCCGAGCGUCAUUUCAACCCUCGGGAGCCCCUUUGCGGGGGCUGCCGGUGUUGGGGAUCGCCCGCCGCCAUGGUGGACGUCCCCUAAAACGAUUGGCGGUCUCGCUGUAGCCUCCUCUGCGCAGUAGCACUUGUUCUCGCAGGCGGAGCGCGGCGCGGCCAAGCCGUUAACCCCCAACUUUUUUACUAGGUUGACCUCGGAUCAGGUAGGAAUACCCGCUGAACUUAAGCAUAUCAAUAAGCGGAGGA
rnacentral:misc_RNA from 1 species